GGGCCCAUAGCUCAGCGGCAGAGCAGCCGGCUCAUAACCGGUCGGUCCUAGGUUCGAUCCCUAGUGGGCCCACCA
rnacentral:tRNA from 1 species